GCAUCGGUGGUUCAGUGGUAGAAUACUCGCCUGCCACGCGGGUGACCCGGGUUCGAUUCCCGGCUGACGCA
rnacentral:tRNA from 1 species